rnacentral:lncRNA from 1 species
GAGGGGAGAGCGGAGACCACGAGUGGCGGCUUAGUACAGGGUCACCUAGCCCCUCAGGUCUUCCAACUCCUCAAUUCUCAGCCCCCUUCGAAGCUGUAGUUCCGGGUUGGGACAGGACCCUGGACCAAGAAGGGAAAGAAAAACAAAAUGCAGCACCACACAACAACAACACACAACAACACCACACAAGAGCCUCUGAGAUGCUCCUUCCUUCCUUACUGCAUUAACCAGCUAUCGACCUGGUUGUGUCCGAUUGCGAUGACGGACUGAGAGAAAGAACACCGGAAGAGCCAGGCUGUUCUCAGGAAGGACUCACGCCGGCCAGGGGGCCGCCCCUGGCCCAGAGGGUGAACCUCUAGACCCAGGCAUGAACCUAAGAACCUCGCUUAAUUAGAUCCCUCCAGGCAUCCCAGGCCUGGAGUAGAAACAGCUACCGGUUACCCCGUGACCAACUGGGAAGAGCUUUGGUCUGGCCCUGAAAUCAGCAACCCACGUCGGGACCCAGUAUCCCAAGCGACUGGAGUCACUGCAUGGCUCUGAUUCCUCAACAAGACCAGGCCAUGCACAAAGCGCUCGCCACGGACGCUCUGUGGUCUGGGCUCAGGGUGCCAGGAGCAUACAGAAAAGGUGUACGCCGAAGACACGUGGCGCACGAAGCUGUGCGCGCUGGAGGACAACUACAAGCGGUGCCCGAUGUGUAGCCAGAGGCCCACCAGCUUCGGGGUCGGACACUCCGAACCACCAGCCCCCAUCUCUUCUCCCCCCCCCCCCGGUCUAGCUCCCCGAUGUGCCUGUGUCCCCCAUCGUUGGGAGCUUCUGCAGCCUUGUGUCUCCCAGCUCGGACAGAGUUCAAUCCUUUCCUCCCAAGGCUCAGAGUCCCCCAGAGGCGGUGCGGGCUGGCUAUCCUUCAGCUUCCUGCAGAGGCUGCUGCCUACGCUCCCCCCACCCCCAGCUGGGGUUACAGGUUAAUGAAACGCUCGUUUUCCUCAGUCAUUUGUUUUGUUUUCCUGCAAAGUUCUGAUAAGUAGCUAACCAACGAAGCUUGUAAUUACAAUCUUACAGAAACCGGGCCGAUCUGUAUAUAAAUCUCACCAUCCAAUUACAAGAUGUAAUAAUUUUGCACUCAAGCUGGUAAUGAGGUCUAAUACUCGCGCAUGCGAUAAUCCCCUCUGGAUGCUGGCUUGAUCAGAUGUUGGCUUUGUAAUUAGACGGGCAGAAAAUCAUUAUUUCAUGUUCAAAUAGAAAAUGAGGUUGGUGGGAAGUUAAUUUCUCUCCGCUCUGUGAAGCGUAGACAAGAAUUUAAUGAUUUAAUUACAGUUGUAAGCCCUUUCCAUGA